AAUAUUUUGGUUUCCGUUAUUAUAAAUCUCUAAAUUAACGAAUCCUAAUUUCAUACUAAUUUUCUAAAUUAAAGAAUCAUAAUUGCACUAAUAUUGUAAAUAAAUAUGGAAGGUGUAUUAAUUAUAUAAAUAUUUUAUGAGUGCACUAUUGUUGUAAUAAUUUUUAAAAAUGUAAUAGAAUAUGUAAUUUAUCCAUAAUUUAAAUAGAUGCUAGGCUAAGCUAUAGGAGGUUGUUAUGGGUCAAGUUGCUGCAAGAGGCAAGGGGGUAAGGUAGCUAAUAUAGGGGCCAAGUAGGGUGUAACAGCUAAGCUUAAUAGAGGCCAACUGACUGCUCUGUCAGGGGGCUGAAUGAGGCCAUAACAUAGCCAGGUACAGGCUGAAGAAAGCCAGCAGUAGAGCCAUGAUGGCUCGCCAAAGUCCAGCCAUAUAUGUCCACACCUUACACCCAAGUUCAGUAGCUAUACCAAUAUACUAAGUGCUAAAAUCAGUAGAAGUCAUCUAGUGAAAGUGUAAGAAUCUGACUGGUAAAGGAGAAGACUUGAUCAAUAAAACAACCAUCAAUCUAUCUAUCUUGAAGUCUAUAAACAAGCAGCCCGACAAGGUAUACUAGUAAAUUGAACCUUUUUCCAUUCCAUUUUGAUGAUUGCAUAGACUGAUUUGUGGUUGGGUGACUUAAAAGGGCUGUUACAUAGAACUUUUGUUAUGGACUUCUUUAUGAUAAUAUUAGUGACUGUUAUGAUAACAUUGUUAUGAUUAUGUGAUAUAUGUAUAAAGACCCUUAGCAAUUAAAUCCAAACGGCUGGUAAAUUAGAUAGGAAAAUGAAUUGUUUCAUAUAAAUAAAUAGCAUGCCUACUAACUGUUUGAUAAAAUGCUAAUGUAGGGAUUGUUAUGGUAUAGAAACAUACUAGAUGUGUGAUAUUCAUGUCUAAAAACAUAUCUAUAUGCUAUCAUAGUAAGAGUAAUGCCUCAAGUAUCAUUCUAUGAUCAAAUGUAUCAUGUUUUAAAGCAAAUUACAUACCAUGAUAGCUUUGUUUAUGAACAAAAAAAAUUAAUUUUUUGAUUGAGUUAGUUAGCUUAAUGUUGACUGUUAUGUCUUGAUUCUAGUGUGGUUUAUAUGCUAUAACAAGGGGUAAAUAUAUCGAAUCUUGAAAGCUAAUUAUAAUGGUGGAGGCUUAAGUUUCAUUUUCAUUCCAAAACAGGACAGUAUGGGCAUGUUUGAAAUAGGCCAGACCAGGCCACUGUUUUGGAGAACUUGUAAGCUAGCUAGAAGGCUUGGUUAUGCACUGAUUAGUGUUUUAAAUACUUGAGCUAUCCGGAUAGAGAGCAUUAUAUUGAAUUUUAUGUACAAAAGUCAGUCUAUGAUCAUGUGAAUACGAGACCAUGCCAUCCUUUGUUAACCAUGUAACUAGCUCAUGCUUUCUAGAGGAAUUUAAAGCCUAUAGAGGACUGUUUUGAACUAAAACAUUAGGCAUUACAUCGGUGUGUUCUUAAGCAUGAAUAUAUAGUAUAUAUACAGUAAAUAUGUGAUGUGAUAAUACUUGUAUUUGAAUACUUGAAACUGUUAUGGUAAGGUGGUACUACAUCAUGCCUAAAAUGACAUAAAUGGACUGUUUUGGAUAUUAGAAAGACAACUAAAUGUUACAAGCAUGAUAAUGGAUUUAGGUUUAUGUUAAUAUCAUUUUUUAAAAGUUGUUUGAAUGCCUAAAGGUUUCCUUUGCCUUCAUGGGGACAUUUUAUGAAAUUAUCGACAAAACUAUGCCUAUGUAUGAACUGUUAUAGAAAAUUUUGGCAACUGAAUUUGUGAGACAGUAUGAAGUCCCUAUAUUGCUUAUAUUUAUCAUUUGAAAUUUGUUCCUUAAGUUAGUUAAGGUCUACAAGGUGUGUUGUGCACAUUCAUGCCUAAAAACCAAUGAAAGUAAGCUUUAAAUAGCAAUGAACACCAAAAUGAAGAACCACCAUACCUGGAUCACAUAGGCAAGUUUCAAUAGUCAUAAUAUGACAUAAGUAAGCUAUUACAAGCUAAAGAAACCAAGCCUAAAUUGUUUUGAGCAUUAGACCAAAAGUGGACUUUUUGUGUAAUUCUUAGCACCUGAACUUAUAAGACUAAAAUGAACUCAUGUAAAGUUGCUAAUGCAUGCUUAUAAUGGUUCCCAAUCAUUGCCAUGACCAAAGCUUGUAAGAAAACCAAGUUAAGAUUUAUUUUCAAGCCUAAAGUGAGCUUUGAUAGGUCAAAAUUGUCUAGAUGAUUGAAUAAAGUAUGGUGAUGCUAAAAGUAUCCUUAAGUAGCUUAAAUACACAUGUCUAGACUAUCCUAUUGGCCAAAACUGGAAAAUUUUGGAAAAAGUUCAAAAACAAUUAAUUUUUGUAAAAAAGUUAUAAUAAAACUGCCCAGUUGGAGCCCUAUUUUGGGAAGCCUAAUUGGCAUGAAUAAGAAACCUAAAACUUGACUAAAAUACCUUGAUGUAUGUUCUAGAUGCAGGGAAAAACGGUUGAACCAAGAACUUAACCCAGAAAUUUAAACAAAUCAUCAAACCAACCUACAAAAUAAACAAAACUGCAUAUUCUGCAGAUUUUUUGAAGUGUAAAAUUGGGAUUUUGCCAUUUUACUUAAAUCUGAGUUUUAACACCUUAGACAAAUGAGUUAGAGGUGUCCUAGGUUAUUCCAAGUGUUGGAAUGCUAAUGUAUACAAGAACUUGAGAAAUUAGUAUGUAAAAGCUUGAAAAAACUAUGUUUAGAAGGUCAAAACCAAAUAUAUAUUUAGCAAAGUCAAGGAAAUACUAAAACUAGUCUUCACUAGUAAUAAUUCAAGUGUUGGAAUGAACCCAAUAGGCCAAAAAUGAAAAUGGCAAGUAUUGACCAAAGUUAGUAAAAGUUAAAACUGUGAUAAACAACCUAGUUUGAGCAUUAGUUUCGAGAAACAUAAAAGGCUUACUUGAGUAACCAAACCAACACAAAAAUACCUUGGUAUACAGUCUAGAAGUAUGACCAUAGUUCAUGUGUAAAAGCCUAAUACAAAAAAUUAUAAAAAUCAUCAAAGAAGCCUUGAAAAUCAUAAAAACUGCAGAUUUUGCUGGGUAAGAAAAGGUGUGAAACAGGCCAUUUGGGGCCUGUUUUUGAAUUUCUUAAUUAACUUGAUAGUUUUAAAGACCUAAACGAAGAAUAAAAUAUUUUCGUAUGUGUUCUAUAAUAUUGUACAAAUAGAAGGUUCAAAAGGUUACUAUAGAAAUUACUAAAAAUCGUCAAAAGUACCUCAAAAAUCAUAAUUUUGUGUUUUUGAGUUAUAUUUUAAAAUUGAAAUUUAAGGCUUGUAAAUGUCUUAGCACGACUAAAUAAAAUAAUAAAAGUUUUUUAUGAUCUAAGAUCUAUAUCAUGACAUGUUUGAGGUUUAUCAAGUAUGCUUUGGGAUGUAUCUAAGCUAUAAAUAAGUUGUUUGCCUAUGUGAACUAUUUAUAAUAAAGUGCUAUAUAUGUAUGUACUAAACUGUGAAAAUGAAUGGUGUCAAGCUAAGUGUUUAUGUGUGCUUAACUGUAUUUGCAAAUAAAAGCUAUCUAUGUGAUGGUUUAAUGUUAGUAAGUAACUUAUCUAAUAGUUAUUGAAUACAACUUCAAUAACCAUAGUUGAGCUAUGUAAAUUAAUAAAGUACACUUUGUGCUAAAAGAAAAUUAAAUAAACCAAUACUAGAUAUAUGUAGGCUACUCAGUGGCAAAGCACUUUCUUAAAAAGUUUAAUCAAAGCGAAAGGCAAGUAUAUCAAACCUUUCUCUCAUAACUAUGUUUAUAUUAUAGUAUUCAACUCAAAAGCUAUCUUUUCAAGUUAUUCAACUUAUUAUACUAUAAUGCUUCAAAUGUUGAAAAAUAUUGAUAUUAUUCAUUCAUGAUAAUCUCAUUUAAUGUUCUCCAAACCAUUUUGUUAUGGUGCAGACUCUUAUAUAAUGUUAUGAUUGAACAACCCUUUUAUGGGGCAUAAGACCGGACAUGAUUCCGAAGGACAUGUAAUGUGUCAUUAGAUUGUUAUGUUGUGCACAAUAUAGGGUACUUAGGUUCAUCCCCUAAAGUACAAGUCUAGGAUAUAGUUCAGUUUUAAUAAUUGUUUGUAUACAUGGAUUGCAGUUUUAGUACUGUCAAUUCUAGUACAGAGUUUGCUGGUUAUUUGACCUUACAACAUGCUAAAGUCUGAUUCUUAAACACACAGCUUUUGAAAGGAUUUUUUUUCUCAGUAUCUCAUUAAUUAAUUCAUUAAUUAUAUAUGUAUAUUUCUAUUCUAUUAUAUUCAAAUGUUUAUUUCCUUGCUGAGCAAGCUUUUGCUCACCCGUGAAAUAUAAUGUUUUCAGUUAAAACCAAGCCCGCUGGUACGUCCGGAAAGGAUAAGGGAAAAUGCAAAGUUGCAGAAUAAUUUGUUAUUAAGCAUAUGUGUUUAAAUGAACUUUAAAUAGUUAUUGUAAUAACUACCUUUAGUAUUAUGUUUUGUAAUAUUAUUUGGUAUUUAAGUUAUGUAAAGUUCUAUAGAACUUGAGAUUUAAGCAAGAUAAUAUGUAAUCUAAGACAAGUUUAAAUUAGUAAUAUGUUGGGAUGUAUGGAUAUGAUAGUAUUGUGAGCACCAAACCCGAUCAAGAUAAAGGUAACCCGAAUUUGGGGGUGUCACAAUAUAUGUUAUAAAUGUAUAAUUAUCCAAUUUUGAUUAAUAAUUUUAAUAUAUGUUAUUAUAAUGCAUAAAUUAAAUUGUAUGGAAAUAUAUUGUAAUAUAUGUAUUAUGUUUUUGGGUGUAUUAUGUUUUUGGGUGGAAGGAAUGUCGUAUAAUGUAUGUAUGUUGUAAACAUGACUUAAGGUUUAUAAUGAUAAUGUAAUAUAUGUGUUAUAUAAGUCAUGUAUGUUGAGACCUUAAAAAGAUUAAUGCAUGGCUUAGUCAUUAAACUUAAGCUGGAGGUGUCAUUGUAUUAGGCCAUUAAGGACACUGCAUAUAUCAGAUAAAUGAAAGAAAGGCUAAGAAGAAUAAACAAUUAUAAGCUUUCUUAUUACUAUCCCUUCUGUUUCAUACAAAGUACUUUUAUGCCCAACUUCUCUAUUCUCAUAUUAAUUACAAACAUAAACAUCAAAUUCUACAAACAAUCCACAAAAUCUUUAAAAAUAUAAGCCAUCAACUUAGGUUACAAAAGAAUUUAUGUAACAUAUUGGCAACAGAAGGAUAAAAUUCAACCUAAAACAAGCUUGGAACAAAGAUUUAACCAAGUUAUCAAACAAGAGAGGUAAGUUCCACUUACUUUCUAAAUUCAUGAAAUAAAAGUAAAUAAUAUAUGUGAUUAUUGUGUUUAGUUGUGGGAGGUUAUGUGUUGGGUAAUCAGAUGGAUUUCGAAGAUUUACUGGUGGAUUGUUGGAGAAUAUGUGGUUAAACAUGUUUAAAUUCUUAUGAAAUCCCGAGUUUUUAAGCUAUGCACACAAAGAGUUUGUUAAAAUGCCUCAAUGAGGCUAUUAUGUUAAAGCAUGAGAAUUCGUUAAAGUUUUGUGCUAGAUAAUGUACAUACAUAAGUUAUAAGAUAACUCAAGUGGUUUAAGUGUAUUGAAACAAGCCCAACAUGAGUUUUAUGAAUUUUCUAUCAAAAUGGUUUCAACCUAAAUUUGUUUUAACAUGGAACUUUUGAGCCUUUGUAUUCGUGCCUUAGAAAACUCUUUUUGGUCAUGUAAUAUUUUUCUAAUAUAUUAUGUAGUAUAAUCUCAAACAUGUACAAAUUUGAAAUUAAUUGAGUAAGAAGAUCACAAGAUAUGAAUUUUCAAAGUGGCUAGAAAAAUAAAAAAUUACUAGGAAUUCUGGGUUCUGGGCAGGGGCUCAGCGCGACAUCGUUGCUCCCAAGCGUUGCAGCGCUGGCUGCCAGCCAGCAUUCCAACUUUCAUUUUUUAUUCCGAUUUUGAUCUUGAGUAGUUAAAUAAUAAAAUAUAUUUUAAUGUGUAAUUAAUCUAUAAUCAGACUAAUAAAUUUAACGUAGUUAGUUUUUUGAUCGAAGUUCGUGGAAUGCGUUUAUGUUAAGCUUUGUAUUGUCUUAAUUAUAUUACAUAGGUAUUAGCGGGAUAAUAACGCUUCGAGUAAGCAAAAACAGAUAGAAUCAAUAACGUUUCAUCGUAGAGGCAAAUAUUUCAACUCUUUUCUAUAAUCAAUUUCUUGAUAAGCAAUCCUUGUCCAAGUAUGAGCUUUUUGCAAAUAUGGUAACUCUGUUUCUAAAUAAGUUUAUUAAAUCAUGGCAUACUUAUGUCCAACCAUUCGAAAUGACAUUGUUAUCCAAUCUUUGUUUGAUUUGAAUCAGAACGAUAUUCUAAUAGUUUCAGUCAAGUAUGAGAUAUUAUUAUAAAUCUAAAGCCAUUUGAUUCGGUUAGAUCAUAGUCGAUAUACGUUCUAAAGGUUCAUAUUUUCUUUGAGAAGCUAAACCAAACCAAAUUGCUUGGUGCAAAUUCCUCUGAUAAAAUUGAGAUGAACAACCCUAUAAAAGGGUACAUGUUAUCGGAGACUAUAGUUUCGAACUCUGCUUAUGCGUUAUAUGUUUGUGUACAAUAUAUAGGUACAAAAGGCUGAUCAUCUGACGUACUAUGUUGAUGGUUUGUCUAUAGUCUUUUGAUCGUUAAAGGUUAUGGUAGAAAUACUAGAUAACCUGGGACAUAGUUUAUGAUUUUGUGACCCUCAGUAUACCUCUAAGUCCAAUAUCUUUUAUAUGCUUCGAGAAUUGAUUAUUCCGAUGGAUUCAAAGUUUUUAAAUAAUUGUUGAUUGAUUCCAAUACAGGUUUUCUCGUUUUGUUGUAGAAUAAUCAUUUGUUUCUUUCAUAAACUGCCUUGUUAUAAGUUAUUAUAUUUGCUGGGAAAUUUGAUUGCUCAUCCUUGUAUAAAACAUUUGAGUUUAAAACAAGAAGUUUGGAGAUCCAUCUAUAGACAAAGGCAAGGGAAAAGUGCAAAAAUACAUGUCUACUAGUCCAUCUUUUGUUUCGAUGUGUAAUAAGUAAAUGAUGUAAAUAUUUGCUUUUAUUAUUAUGUAAUAUUAAAGGUUAGAUAACUUAGGAAGCGACUAUAUGUAUGUAAUCUUUUGUAAGAUUUAUUACUAAUGUUGCUUGUUAUCCUACAUAAUGGGUAUACGUAGAAUAGAUGUUUGUAUGUAUUGGAUCGUGAGCACUGAAUCUGAGGGUAAAUGUACUCAGAAUUGGGGGCAUCACAUCUGCUUAAAUAUUUGAAUGAACCUGUUAAUAGAACUUUCUUUAUGUUCCUUUGGUUUCAACGAUGCAAUUGAAUGUUGUGAUGCCCCUAAUUUUGGGUACCUUUAAACCCCAACAAUGGUGCAUCACGGUACUACCUACUAGGCAUAAUAAUAAAGGCAGAAAUAUAAUUACUAAAUUAUUACAAAUCAUAUUAAUCUAACUUCCCAGGUUCUAAGACCUUUAAAAGUUUGGAAGCAUCAUAAUAUAAUAAUUAUUACAUCAUUUUAUUUAAUAGAUAUCAUUCUUAACUUAAACUAUUACAUAAUAUCUUUUACUUGGAAACUUUUCCUUUUCCUUUGUCUUUCUUACCCGAGUCUUCGCCCCGCUCGAGCUUAGCUUAAAACAUUUUUAUAUAAAGCAAGAAUAAGCUAAAAAGCUCAGCAAAUGUAACAGCUGAAUAAUAACAAAAUCAAGAAUCAUGUUUUUAUUUCAACAACUGAACAAUAGUUGUGAAACUAUCUCGAAUAAAUAGGAAUAAUAAUAAUAAAUUCUCU
rnacentral:lncRNA from 1 species